GACGAACGCUGGCGGCAUGCCUAAUACAUGCAAGUCGAGCGAAUUGAUGAGAAAAGCUUGCUUUUCUCUGAUGUUAGCGGCGGACGGGUGAGUAACACGUGGGCAACCUGCCCUUUAGUUUGGGAUAACUUCGGGAAACCGGAGCUAAUACCGAAUAAUACUUUUUCCUUCAUGGGAGAAAGUUGAAAGAUGGUUUACGCUAUCGCUAAAGGAUGGGCCCGCGGUGCAUUAGCUAGUUGGUGAGGUAACGGCUCACCAAGGCCACGAUGCAUAGCCGACCUGAGAGGGUGAUCGGCCACACUGGGACUGAGACACGGCCCAGACUCCUACGGGAGGCAGCAGUAGGGAAUCUUCCACAAUGGACGAAAGUCUGAUGGAGCAAUGCCGCGUGAGUGAAGAAGGAUUUCGGUUCGUAAAACUCUGUUGUAAGGGAAGAACAAGUAACGUAGUAACUGGCGUUACCAUGACGGUACCUUAUUAGAAAGCCACGGCUAACUACGUGCCAGCCGCCGC
rnacentral:rRNA from 1 species